CCUACGGGUGGCUGCAGUGAGGAAUAUUGGUCAAUGGGCGCGAGCCUGAACCAGCCAAGUAGCGUGAAGGAUGACUGCCCUACGGGUUGUAAACUCCUUUUAUAAAGGAAUAAAAUGAGGCACGUGUGUCUUUUUGUCUGUACGUUAUGUAUAAAGAACGGCUAAUUCCGUUCCAGCAGCCGCGGUAAUACGGAGGGUCCGAGCGUUAUCCGGAUUUAUUGGGUUUAAAGUGAGCGUAGAUGGGUUGUUAAGUCAGUUGUGAAAGUUUGCGGCUCAACCGUAAAAUUGCAAUUGAUACUGGCAGUCUUGAGUACAGUUGAGGUAGGCGGAAUUCGUGGUGUAGCGGUGAAAUGCGUAGAUAUCACGAAGAACUCCGAUUGCGAAGGCAGCUUACUGAACUGCCACUGACAUUGAUGCUCGAAAGUGUGGGUAUCAAACAGGAUUAGAUACCCUAGUAGUC
rnacentral:rRNA from 1 species